rnacentral:rRNA from 1 species
UACGUAGGGGGCAAGCGUUGUCCGGAUUUACUGGGCGUAAAGAGCGUGUAGGCGGCCAAACAGGUCCGUUGUGAAAACUGGAGGCUCAACCUCCAGACGUCGAUGGAAACCGUAUGGCUAGAGUCCGGAAGAGGAGAGUGGAAUUCCUGGUGUAGCGGUGAAAUGCGCAGAUAUCAGAAAGAACACCCGUGGCGAAGGCGGCUCUCUGGGACGGUACUGACGCUGAGACGCGAAAGCGUGGGGAGCGAACAGGG